AAUUCCUUCGCUUCGGACGCCCUUCUCUCAUUCCGAACAUGGUUUCGUCCAACAACGGGCGAUUCGGGCGAGUUCUUGGAAGAGAGCGAGCCACCGGCCUCGAGCUUCUUGGAGAUCCUCUCGUCUGAGAGGGCGAAGGUCUCCACGCUGGGGUCAGCCUUGGCCCUCUGACAUUCCGAUCGAAUGCCUUCCGCGGCCCAUGGGUGGAUCGAGUCCUUCGCCAGCAUGGUCUAGUUGCAGUGGAGUUCCAUUUAAUGAUGGCAAGCUAGCUUGACGUAUCCAUACAAUGUCUUAGCCAAGAAGAAGGGUUAUUGAGAAAGCAAAGUUCUCGUUGUCUAAACAGUCGGAAGCACUGGAAACAUGGAUGCUCGGUCAUUUGCAGAAGCAGCUCAGGUCGACGGUAGCAAGUAAGUAUGACGUUUUCUUUUGUGCGGUUGAAAGCUUCAUGAUCCAUACAAUUAUGAAUUUCUUUUUGGCACAAUGUGCCGAAAGAUACUCUCACCCAUGCUCGUCCGAGUCGACGAUGACUCGGUUAACCUCUUCACGUCGGUUGUUUCCUCGAGGUGGUCUCACUCAAGGUAGUUGUGUCUUCAAGUUAGCAUCAUUAAAUCGGUCGCCUUUAAGACAUUUUCAAAACAAUCAUGUUUUUAAAUUGAUCGUACCUUGAAGAACAAUGUCUUUAAGAA